AAUGAACCUGCGAGUUUUAUAUUGGGAUUAGAGUAUGAAGCAAUUUAUGGCAUUUUUAAGUUUUUGUUGUAAAAUAAUUUACUACCUUUCGUCGUCCCUUCUUCUGUAUACGGGGUGACCAUUAUUAUCUAAAAUAGUUUCUUGAUUGAAUUGCUUUGGAUAGUUUUUGCUGCACUUCUUAUCCACCAUGCAUGGGCAAUUUGGAUUGGAAUUUCCGCAUGGACCACGGACCAUGUAACGUGUAACGUGUAACGGCCUCAUAUAAUUCUGGUUUCGAUUCUUUGUCUGGGAUCUCUGCUUGUAUGAUUGUGUCUAUGAAUUGUGGAGUGUGUGGUAAUUCUUCUUCCUUUAUCCAUAAAAGUAUAUGAGCGUGAGGUAGCCCCCUCUUUUGAAAUUCCACAGUGCAUACAUCUGUAUUUUAGCCAUACAUUACUAAAAGUUAGUUGUAGGAUUUUUUUUUGUUAAUAAAAAGUUAAUUUUUUUUUUACUUUUAAUUGAACUGCUCAUCAUGGGUUCAUCAUAAAUUAUUAUAGUUUGCUUAUAUCUAAAAAGUAAACCGUGGAAAACUAUAAAAGUAGAUUAAGGAAACAAAAUGAAUUAUCUGUGAAGUGUGUGUAUGACCUGGUACGCAUUCAUUACUUUGCAAAUUCUUUUGUAAAUUACUUUACCUGCCACAUCAGUCCCAAAGUAAUGGUCUUCUUUAAGACACUUCAUGAGCUGUUUUAGUUUGAGCUUGAAUACUCUUGCCAUGAUAUCUGGUCGAUCUUCUGGCUUUUGUCCUUCAAUAUGACUCAACAUUGCUUGUACUUCUGGCCACUUUGUGUUUGCUGUAAAUGUGAUGAAUAGAUGUGGGCUUCCAUAUCGUCUACAGAUUGCCAUAGCAUCUUGAUAGUUUUGGUACAUGUAUCUUGGUCCUCCCGUGAAUGAUGCGGGUAGGAUAAUUCUUUUUCCCACUGCUGCCCCAUUCAUGUCUCCUUGUACUACAGCAUCUCGUAUGUUGUUGUAUAUUUCGCACCUAAAUUGCUGUUGGUUGUUUCGGAUAAAUGACAGCCUUUCUUCUUCAAUCGCGCAAUAGCAGUCUACUAUAAAUUGUAAAAGUAACCGACCUGCAGCAAGAUAUAAGGAAUUAUGUUUAAAUAUGAAUUUAUUGUCAUAUAAGUAAACGAAUUCUUGUAUCUUUUUUGGAGGUUUGUAUAUGUGUUAUAUAAGUAAAAACGUGCAUAUUAAUUUGAAUAAGAUAAGUAGUUAACCUGCUCGUAGUAGAGUUUGAGCUUCUGUUUUUCUUGUUUGCAGCCUGUAUGCGUAAAACUCUCUCAUGGUCACACAUUCCCUUUUGCCUUUUCCUAAUCCUUUUUUCUUAGCAUAUACUAUCCCAAGAUGGAAACUAUCUUCUCCAUAUGGGAAUAGCAGAGGAUAUUGUAAAGCCAUGAAGCUUGGGUGUAAUUCACUUAUUCUUUGUAAUCCUUCUGAUUUGUGCUCAAUUAUUAUAUCCCUUCCAUAUGUGUUAUGUCCAAUAUCUCCUACUAUAAGUGCAGCUAUCUCAGAUGAUGUUGGCAUGUUGUAUGUUUUUUUUUUGUUGUCUCUUGUACCAAGUAGCCUUAUGGUCCACUUUUCUCCCACAUUUUGUCUUAUUCUUUGUUGUGUCAUUCUAAAGGUUUGUGCUAGGGGAUUCACUUUGUCAAGCAUUGCUUUCAAUUUGGAAAGUAAUUCAAAAUUCAAUUUUGGGCUGUUUUCAUUCUUUUGAACAACAUCUGUUCUUAAAUUGAUUUCUAAUGCACCAUCAUAUAUAUAUAGCUGGGAAAUGAUGGUUGUUUAUCAUCCACCGGCAGAAGAGACCCUAUGCGAUGAUGAUUCUGUCCACUUACUCUAAAAAUAUAUGGCCCUGCUGUUGUGUUUACUAAAUUAUCAACCUUAGCGCCCAUUGACGUAAAUGCAAAACAUGAAUUGUAUAUACGAAUAAGUUGUCUGAAGACUGAUGCGCAUUUGUCUCCCAUGUAAUUCAACAAUUCUGCCAGCAACCUGGGUGGUUCUUUGAAUUUGGGUAAUUUUACUUUCCCCUCUUGACAACAUAGGUUGAAGAUUGUCCUGUUCUUUGUGCUUCUCUUCUUAACUCUCUCUUCGUACCACAUUAAUGCACCACACUCUGGACAUUCGUAUUCAGGUAAGCCUAAGCUUAUAUACUUGUAGCUUUCAUUAUAAGUUCCUGUACAUUAAAGUAAUUCAUGCUUAGAUAAUGAUAGUGAUUUAAAGAAAGUGCAAGGUAAGUUGGUAAGUUUUAUGAUACCUGCUGAAGUUGUUUCGAAUUGAAUUUGUUCAUUCUCUUCGUUAUUAAAUAAUCGCCUUCUUUUGUCUUUAUGCAAAUCUGCACAUACAAUUCAAAGAUGAGUAAAGUGUUAGCAAUUGACAAAAUAUUGUAAAUUUAUUUAUUGCAGGUUUUGGGUGUUCUAAUAGUUCUUAUGGACUAUGGCUAGAUUGCCCUUCUUAUGUUCAAUGACCAUCUAUGAGCUCGUAAAGCUGAUUAACCCUCUCUCAGAGUUGACAUGCUUCAUAAUGUCGAAAACACUCCACAAGAUUUGGGAACUACUUUCCGGUGCACCAAAAGGAGAAGCAGCUAAUCUAGGUACUUGGUAUAUAUUAUUAAAACAAAGGGACAUUCCUAAUUAUGUCCGUUUUCAAUUGUUGCAUUAAUUUAAGCCAAUAUAACUGAAACAGGAACAUGAAUACAGUAGCUGUUCACAUGAAUUGCAAUGAACAGUUCCUAAGUUCUAGAUUUAUA